UACGUAGGGGGCAAGCGUUGUCCGGAAUCAUUGGGCGUAAAGCGCGCGUAGGUGGCCACAUAAGUCCGUUGUGAAAGUCAAAGGCUCAACCUUUGAAAGCCGAUGGAUACUGUGUGGCUAGAGUACGGAAGAGGCGAGUGGAAUUCCUGGUGUAGCGGUGAAAUGCGCAGAUAUCAGGAGGAACACCGGUGGCGAAGGCGGCCUUCUGGACAGUGACUGACGCUGAGACGCGAAAGCGUGGGGAGCAAACAGG
rnacentral:rRNA from 1 species